CACCACACAAACCCUAAUUUCAUUUUCAAUUAGAUUCCUCUGCCGUUUCUUCUCUACCUCUCUAUUACGUUUGUGUGAAUAAGUGGUAAUGGUACUUCCUUACAAACCCUAAUUUUUAUCUCAGCGUUCUUCUGUCUGUCGUUCAUUCCUAUUCGCAAGGAAUCAAGACUUCAAAAUCACCAAGAACCGCAUCAACAAUCAACAUAAUAUGGUAUCUUCAGUGAUUCUUGCUUCCAUCACUAAGACAAGAAUUUUUCCAUCACCGAUUAACCGGUCAGGUACAUAUAUUCGUAUCACGAUCCAGUUCGAAGCGAUUAUGAUCAAAUAUUGUGUGAUUCCAGCAAGAAUUUGUUCUUCACUGGCGAAUCGGCUAUGGAUAUCUUUACAACCCACGUUUGAAGAGGCGGAGGGAUUAUAUCACUAGAGAACUUAUUGGAUUUUAUCAAGAAUUUCCAACAUCUCAAGGCAUAUAACUUUACAUAAUGACAACGUUAUAUGGAAAACUGGGGUGCUUAUGGUGUCUUGCCUACGCUCACUUGUAGUGUCAGUUAAGUGAUCCUCCUGUUGAAGAUGCAUCAGAUCAAUUGGUUAGCCGGCUGUCCUAUUUAUUCUCAAACGAGAUCUAUUCCAUAUGUCAUCGAAUGAGCGGUCAAAUUCGAGCAGCUUUACAUAGAGCGGGUUCCCUCAACGGUUUCAUCCCCAUUUCAGUGAUGCCCAUUUUUUAUUCAAAGAUAUCUUACUGUGUAAGAGCAUAACACCUGAAACUGCUCAAAACCAUUGGAAGUAAUGUCGAUAAUCAGGGAUGCUGCCACGAGGUUAUCUGAACCUGUACUCAUUUCUAAUGAGUUUAUGUCGUUGAAAAGAACAAGUCCAUACCCUCCUGAUGUCUUGGAAUCUAUGGAAGUUGACUUUGAUAAAAAACUUAUGUUAAAUUUCUUCGUAUGCCAUAUUUGGUUGAAAAGGUUGUUGAGCCUUUGACUCUAGAUGUUUCGGCAAACACGUAUUACAUAGACGCCAUUGCUAGAGAACUUGGAGCUGCAGAUGCUUCUAUGGUUUCGCUCUCCAGGUGCAUUGGAAAAUCUUCUUCUGAAACAAGGUUGUAUUCUCAUGCUCCGAAUUCAUACAAGUGGGAUAAAGAAAAUUUUAAAGAUGGGUCGUAUUUAAAUGCGAGGGCAAGUUAUUUAUCUGGUCAGAAUGUAUACGGUGAUGCAAUUUUGGCUACUAUUGGAUACUUGUGGAAGUCUUGUGAUCUUUUCCUUGAAGACGUAUCUCCCCGCACAUAUUAUAGGUUACUUAUGAAUAAGUUACCCGCUGGUAUAUAUAAGUUAUCACGUGAAGUAGUACUUGCAGCUGAAUUGCCUCCAAAAUUUGGUACCCAGAGUAAUUGGAGGGGUUUAUUUCCAAGGGAUAUUCUCUGCACAUUCUUAUAUAUUUUAUUAUUAAAUAAUAUGUUAGAUCUGAUUAUAAUAAUAUUAUUUUUAGAGUAAAGUACAUGGAUGGCACCUAUGGUUUACCAAAAUAUUGGAUUUGGUCCUUAGAAAGUACACAGAUGGUCCCUGUGGUUUACACUUUGUAAUGGGUUCAUCUAGGCCAAAAUUCUAUGGAUAGCGACUAGAAGUAUCUCUUCCCUGUUAUGUGUUUAUACCGAUACAAUUAGUUAUGCCAUGAGUUCAUCUAGGCCAAAAUUCAAUUGGAAAAUUCAGACAAGUUGGUCUGGUGAUGUAGGUGUAGAUGAGACUGGUGUGGAGCCCAAUGAAAUCGACCUGGUUAUGACUCAAAAUGACUGUCAAGAUCAAAGGUCGUUAAGGCUUUUUAAAUGCUGCAAAUGGUCAACGGAGAUGUUAAGGUCAUUUUAUUCUCAUACGUGUCAAGGGAAACAUGGGAAUUUAGAAGUUAACCGUGAAGGCAUCUACUUACAACAUGACAAAGAUUAGUGAUCGGGAGUCAUUUAUGUUCCUUAGUUACUAAUUUUUAGUUCGAUCAUAUCUCUUGCUAUCUCUUAUCCUACUCAUGAUAUCGUAUGACAUUGUAGACUGGGAGACCAAUUGUGUAUGGGUUGGGCCGCAAAAGGGAGAGUAUGGAGUUAGAAGAAAUGUUGAAAUAUGAACUUAAGCUCAAAAUAGCUCUUUCUGGCUGCCCCACUCUCAAUGAUAUAUGGAUAUAUUUUUUCAGAGGGCUGUAGAACUUUUCUUCUUUUUGUGGUAGUGAAAAUAAUCAAUUUCUGUAUUAGGUUUAUGGCGUUGCAGUUAUAUUUUUGCUGAAAGGAGUUGCUAUUUGAGAGACUAAAAAGGAAGCAAUCACGUACCAAUGUAUUGAGUGACUGUCCUCAAGUAAAUGAUCAAUAUUAUUGAGAGACGCAUGGGGACUAGAUAAAAUUGUGAGGGUGUGCUUAUGUCUCCAGUUAAUUUCAUGCUUACAACAAGUUCAUUAAUUAUGACAUUGAACAGGUCGUCUCCUUCAAGGAAAGGUAUGUCAUGUACUUGGAUAUCAUAUAGAUACGUCAUGUGCUUGGAGAUUAUUCAAGGGUACACUCAAAUUACUUAUUUACUUAUGUUCCUUAAACACAUGGUCUUUACCAAAUUGGAGGGAUGUUUACUUUCAUUUCACAUGUAUGCAUGUAACGACUUCAAAAAUACUUUUUGCCCGUCUAACCCGUUCAAUUCUUUACAACUUUUUUAUGCUAUUCUUGUGAAAAUUUUCUAUUUUACUGAUUUAUAUAGAUGAGUUCAAGGGAUAAGAACAUCUGGUUUCAUUAAAUGGUUAUUGAAUAGGUGAAGAAUAUUCUUCAUAAAACUGUCAUCUUAGUAUUGUUGGUUGUGGUUUAAGGGACUAAGAUGGCUUACAACUUUGGCGGAUUUGAGAAUUGAUAUCCACAUAUAUAUAUUUAGAAUAAGGAACUUUAGAGCAAUUAGUAUGACAUGUAAAAUAGGAUUUAGUAAAAAAAAGUAUCUUUUGUCUGCAUAAAUAUUACUAUUUUUGUGCGUGCGGCUGAUGCUGGACCGCCUUGACAACCAAAGUCGUGAUCUUUAAUGGAUCAUAAGCAGUUAACAAGUUUGCCUAAAUUUUGAAAACUUUAUAACUCUUCUUAUAGCGGUGACAUUAAUGUCAAAAUAGCUCUUUCUGGCUGCCCCACUCUCAAUGAUAUAUGGGUAUCACUUUGUUUAUGAUUUAUUAAGCGACUUCAAGGAUAUCGAAUUUUAGGUGUCUGUUAAAUCAAAGAGGACUUGCAUCUAUAACGUUGGAUGUGGUAGGGCGUGCUACACCAACUGGACUGAGCUCAUGUUACUUUUAGUAAAUUGUAAAUGUAACAUUAUUUGUCUUUUUCUUGAUGUUUUUGUACACGACUUAUAACAUACCUAAUGAUACAAUCCACUUUGUUACUAAUU